GCCUGGGUGGCUCAGUCGGUUGAGCGUCUGACUUCGGCUCAGGUCAUGAUCUCACAGUCCCUGGGUUCGAGCCCCACGUCGGGCU
rnacentral:tRNA from 1 species